GAUGAACGCUAGCGGGAGGCUUAACGCAUGCAAGUCGAGGGGCAGCACGUCUUCGGAUGGUGGCGACCGGCGCACGGGUGCGUAACGCGUAUGCAACUUACCUUAUGCAGGGGGAUAGCCCGGGGAAACCCGGAUUAAUAUUCCAUAGAUCAGUAGUAUCACAUGGUACAAUUGGUAAAGAUUUAUCGGCAUAAGAUAGGCAUGCGUCUGAUUAGCUAGUUGGUAGGGUAACGGCCUACCAAGGCGACGAUCAGUAGGGGUUCUGAGAGGAUAAUCCCCCACACUGGGACUGAGACACGGACCAGACUCCUACGGGAGGCAGCAGUGAGGAAUAUUGGUCAAUGGGCGCAAGCCUGAACCAGCCAUCCCGCGUGAAGGAAGAAGGCCUUAUGGGUUGUAAACUUCUUUUCUAUUUGAAGAAUUUGCCCGACGUGUCGGGUAUUGCCGGUAGGAUAGGAAUAAGCAUCGGCUAACUCCGUGCCAGCCGCCGCCGUAAGAC
rnacentral:rRNA from 1 species